rnacentral:tRNA from 3 species
ACUCACGUGGUGAAAUUGGUAUACACGCUACCUUGAGGUGGUAGUAUCUUUUAUUAAGAUUUGCUGGUUCAAAUCCAGUCGUGAGUACUA